UUCCAUUGAGGCCGCCCAGGCGGGGCCGCGUGAGACGAUUGGCUAUGGGCUUGUGUCACUCUCGAGAGCUCAAUGGAGUCCCGUUUCAAGACCUGGGUGAAACUCACAGCAAGAAGAAAGAAAAGCACUUUGAAGAAAUGGAGUCAAGGGGGAAAAGGAAGACUCCACCCCAUCUAGACUAGAUGUAUGAAUAACAGAAGAUUGGUAUGUGGACUUGCCUUUCACCGAAAGGGGGGAAAAGUUGUGAAAAUUGACACCAGUGUGAAUUUAUACCGUGGCAACCACGCAAGAGAAAGAGGCAGGAAUUAGCACCAUGGACAGAGACGAGCAGCCCUCAAAUUAAGAUUUGCAAAGCUUGAGACGGUGUUUUCUGUCCCUUUCUGUGAGACACGGAAACUGCGUGUCUUGGGAAUGUUUUAUUCCACGGGACUUUGCGGAAAAGACUGUCCUACUCCACAGAAACUCAUUUAUUUUGAAUUAGGCUGGCAUUUCUUAGGACUCAGCCAUCAUGACAAACUGUCAGGAGACUUAGAGCCCCGAACUCGCUGUGCACCUUCCACUGUCCUGUUUUACAUACACUCCCUUGCCGGCGUGAGCUCGCCUUUCUUCAGAGUGUUCAUGAAAAAUAAAUGCAAAUCCAGGUAGUCUUCGAAAAGUCUGGUAAACCUGCUCCAGAGUUUUUAAUCCUCGAAUAUCCCAGCUGGAAUUGCAGCAAAAAUGCCUGCCUGCUCACCCUUGCUCCCUCCCCCCGUUCUUCUCCCUGCUCCCUCCACCCCCUAGCAAAGGGGUAAAGCCUUUUACUGGAAGGUGAGUGACUCCCAAGACUAUUUUGCGAAAGAUUCUUUACAUUGCAAACACUUUCGUUAGGGACAGUGCCAGGGGCGGCAGUGAGCGGGAUCUCAAACAUCCUUUACUUUCUCUUUACAUUGUGUCUGUAAACUCCUGUUCAAGGGGGAAAGACUGUAAAGUAAGAGAGCACACUCAAGGAAUAUUCCCCCCGAAUCCUGAGGUUGCUGUUUACACUUAAAGACACAUGAAUUGUUCAUUUAAAUGUUCUUUUAAAAAAUGUAACUAGUGUCGCGGUAAAUCUUUGAGACCAGCCUAGGUUGGU
rnacentral:lncRNA from 1 species